UUUUUAUUAGUAAAAAAGAAAUUCAUUAAAAUAUUAGGGUGUACGUUGAAAUUCUUUGAAACAUUUAGUGUUAUUGAAAUUAAUCUAUAUAUUUUUUAUAGAAGAAAUUAAUCUAUAUAAAAGAUAAAAUUUUGACUUUCCAUGAGUAGUUUAACUGUUAAGAAAAUAUAUAAAUUUAAUAGUAACCUUUUGGCAGCUAAAAUUAAUGAAAAAAUAACUAUAUUUUAGAAUAAAUUGAAGUUUUUAUAUUUUU
rnacentral:lncRNA from 1 species